CACAGGGCCAGCGCGCAGACGUUCCGCUGCGCCGUGCGCAGCCGGAAGUGACCGGGCCCUAAGCGGGAGGGGACCUGGCGGAGCGGAAGUCACUCCGUGAGGCAGUGGCGACGGCGGCGGUGAGAGGAUGAACAACAAGUUCGACGCAUUGAAAGACGAUGACAGUGGGGACCAUGAUCAGAAUGAAGAAAACAGCACACAGAAAGAUGGUGAGAAGGAAAAAACAGAACGAGACAAGAGUCAGGGCAGCAGUAAGAGGAAGGCUGUUGUCCCUGGACCAGCAGAGCAUCCCCUGCAGUACAACUAUACUUUCUGGUACUCCAGAAGAACCCCCGGCCGUCCCACUAGCUCACAGAGCUAUGAACAGAAUAUCAAACAGAUUGGCACCUUUGCCUCUGUGGAGCAGUUCUGGAGGUUUUACAGCCACAUGGUCCGUCCCGGGGACCUGACAGGCCACAGUGACUUCCAUCUCUUCAAAGAAGGAAUUAAACCUAUGUGGGAGGAUGAUGCAAAUAAAAAUGGUGGCAAGUGGAUUAUUCGGCUGCGGAAGGGCUUGGCAUCCCGUUGCUGGGAGAAUCUCAUCCUGGCCAUGUUGGGGGAACAGUUCAUGGUUGGGGAGGAGAUCUGUGGGGCUGUGGUCUCUGUCCGGUUUCAGGAGGACAUUAUUUCAAUAUGGAAUAAGACUGCCAGUGACCAAGCAACCACAGCCCGAAUCCGGGAUACGCUUCGGCGAGUGCUUAACCUACCUCCCAACACCAUUAUGGAGUACAAAACCCACACCGACAGCAUCAAGAGAAGUCUCAUAAUGCAGCCAGACUUGCAACCACCAGGGGACCACCAGGAUAAAACUUGGCACAGAGCCACAUAAAGCAGCAGUGUCUUUUGUGAGGAAAUUCCUCUUUGGAAUAGUCCCAUUGAGUUCCUUUGUGCGUCUGGCCUGGAACGGAAAAGGGGAAGACAGGGCCAGCUUCACUCAGUGGGCCACAGUACUGGGGAGUCUGACCAGACCCCUCUGCAGAGGAAGUUGAGGGGCCUGGGAGGAGUUUCAUGGCCUGGUGAACAGCAGCGGCCGCUGAUCGGACGCUCCCCUCUGUCUCUCACACUCAGGGGACAAUUCAAGCUUUCGAAAUACAAAAAUCACAUUGUGAAAGUACACGAGCUGGCAAUAAUCCUUUUCUGUAUGUGUGUGUUUGUCCGAAAUGGAUGGGAGGUCUCCGGCCGGUCCUUCCAUCUGCUCACUGAAGGGACGUCCCCGAGCCGUGUGCUCCCCUUUUGCACUCAUUCCUGGAGGACAGAUUCCGCUAGACACCCUCCAGCAUCGCUGACUUUAUAAAGCGGAAAAACAGAAAACGUGACUUUGUAAUAGACAAACUUUUUUUUAAUGGGGUUCUGUGGGGGGGUGGAGUUCGGCCUUUUGUUUUGCUGUGUGCGGUCCAGAUGCCUGUCGGGCGUUCUGUGUGCUCUCCUCUGCUGUACGAAGGGCAUCGUGACCACGUGUACAAGCCAGAGCUGUCGACCGAGAGUUGUCAGUAUUAUGAAUGUCUGUGCAUCCAGGAAAAGCUUUUUGUUGGAGAGUCCCGGAAUGGCUAUAAAUGCUCUCUUCUAGCUCUGCCAUUAAGUUAUUGGGCCAUUUUGUUUAUUUCUCUCCCCUUUUCCCCCAAGCCCACCAUUUUCUGAAAAUGUGUUAACUGAUUUUGUAUAGUCUCCUGCCUUAUGCCCUCCAGUUCUACCCUCCUGUGGGACUCUUUCUUCUUAGGCACUGCUGCACUUAGAAUUUUAAUCCAGUGGGCCACACUGGUUUCACCGAGGCGGCUCAGAAGGUAUGCCUUGGUAAAUCAAACUGGCGCAGAAUCCAGUUUGAUUAGGAGCUAGGUUAUAAUAGCGGUUCCAAGUGCAGGAUUUGGAGCUGAGGGCAAUGUCUGAAACCAGAUGAGCAGGGCCUGUGUGUCCAGCCUGUUGCAUGACCCUCGUUGAGGAAGGGAAGCAAAAGCUUGGUUGUUGCCCAGUGUGAACACUUAAUAUGGUAAAUUCUAUGAUCCCAAAACUGGGGCAUCUGAAGAGGUGACCGUGAUGGGUGGCUUUCUUUGCAUGGCUGUGCCUGUCUGCAGUGGUUGAGGAAACCUGCUUUCGGUCCUUGUCGCCUGGUAGAUAAUGCUAGUAAUGCGUGCUGACCCAUGAUGUCCAGACAGAAACCUCUGACAGGCCACUGCAAGCAUGCUUUAAAAAAGACCAGUCAGGCAUCAGAGAAGCCUGGUGAUCUGACUCCAGAAGGACUGAAGUCAGAGAGGUCAAAAGAGCACCUAGGAUUGAAAUCAGUACUGAGUACGAGUCCCACAGCAGCCUGCAGGGAGCGCUGUCUUACUUGGCUCUUGUGAGCAGAGAUCGCAGUACCUUAAAUUAAGGCCUCUCCUAAAACCUGUCCUUGCCGGCCAGGGCCUUCGCCACCUGGUCUCAGAGAAGUCCUAUGAGAGUAAUAGGCGUUUCCUUAUUGUAUUUAUAUUACUCUCUUCCUACUUUCCAAGUCCUGAACCCCCUCUAAUUACCACUGUCUUGGGACGCUUUUUCCUGAAAGAAUGGGAGUGCAGGAGCCAAAAGGGAGGUGCUUCCAUUACAGGUGAAGUUAGAUCGGAUAAGAAGAUCUAGCCAUGAUUUAAACUCCAGGAGUAUGAAGAAUGAAUUGUAGUGCCCAGAUAAUUGUGAAGGGCUCAGGCAAACAGAGGAGCAACAUUGGCUAAAAUGGGGAGCGAAGGCUGCCUCCUGAGUAUUUGUCUAGACCCCAGGGAGGGCUUCACGUUUGCCUACACUCAGAUUUGCCAUGAGAAUUCCAAAGAGAGCAGACGUUUGGGUUUGCCCUCCUUGGGGCAUCUACCUGUUGUGUGUGUGCAAGCAGGUGCGCGUGUGUGUGAUGUGUUCGUGAGGGAGGGUUCUGUCAGGCUGAGUGCUUGGGUGUACUGUCCACAGUUUUGCGCUUUUUUUUUUUUUUUUUUUUUGGUCUCAUUCAGAUUUUUUAAUCUCUCGUGUUUUCUAGAACUGCUCAUGUUUUCCUUCUUCCUUGGCAUUGCAGUAUUUGAAAGUUAUCUUUUCCCAUCAAAAGAUGCUGGCCCUGUGCUGGUCAGAACAAGAGUUAUUUCUCUCAGGCAGUGUCUUACCCGCAGGGCUCUCCUGGAUAUUCUGUCCAGCAGUUUUAAGUGGGAGGUUGAAGAGUCAGUUUAGCCAAACCACCCAUUUUCCAAACUGGCUUGAGAGGUCCUUUUACUUCCUUUUGACUCCAUGGGCCUCUGCUACACUGCAGUAUGACACGGCAGUGGUUAUGGUAUCACCUACUCUGGGGACAAAGUGGCAAAAGGUGCGCCCAGACCAACCUCACCAACGUGGUAGGUUGCUGCCUGGAGAUGGGGAGUCACCUGCCACUUUGCACAGGUGGGCUGUUGUCCCCUGACCCCUCUGCUGGAUUUUCCGUUUGAAAUUGGCCCCUACUCUCGAGGGCUCUUCUCAUUUUAUCCUUCUAUUCAUGUGUGUGGGUUUUUUUUUUUUUUCCUGUGACCUUGGCAGUGGCAAUAAUUAUCCACCUAGAGAGAAGCUUGUGGUCCGCGAUGCUCCAAGAAUGAACUUCCAAGAAUUUGCCAGUGGAGGGGCAGAGGCUGUGACAAAGUGAUUUAGUGUUGCACUUUCAGAGCGAUUGUCUACUGCAGUAAUAAAUGAAAACUAUCCGCAAGAA